AUGGGAGUGUUAUUUUUUUCGGCAUACCGUUGCAUCUUUAAUUGCAAUGAAGCACUGGAAGCGGAAUUGCAUGCGCUAAUGCAGGGUAUGGCUCUUACUAUCCAGCACUGUGAGCUACCUAUCAUAGUCCAGUCGGAUUCUUCUGUCGCCCUCUCCGCUUUGUCUGGUGACAGCUUAUCCAGAUCUGCCUACGGGCAUCUAGUCGCUGAGAUUCGUCAUCUUAUGGUAGAUAGAGUUUUCAUUCCCUUGAAAAUUAGUCAUGUGUAGAAUAGGGUAGCAGAUUGUUUGGCCCUAUACAGUCGAAUAGAGAGCAUUACUGCUGUAUGGCUUGGACGAGGUCCACCGUGUGUUGAGGAUCUCUUGCCUCUUGAUUGUAACCCUAUGCAUAUGGAAUUAAACUCUUUUACCAGCGCAAAAAAAGGGACACGUUGA
rnacentral:rRNA from 1 species